rnacentral:lncRNA from 1 species
AGCCCUUCCUGAUCUCUUGUCAAACGGGAGACCUGAUCACUCUGCUACGUGCUUACCAAGUCUUUGUUCAUCUUCUUCUUCUUAGGCACUCAGAAAAGACAACAUUUUCCAGGCUUCCCUGUGGUUCAGUUGAGGUUCCCUGAUAGUGUUCUCACCAGGGUGGGUGGAAGUGAGGCCUGCCGUAUCCAGGCCUGCUUAUUAAGCUCUCGUGAAUCACCCAAACUCUCUUCCCUUGCUGCAGCAACUGCACAGAGCCUGUGCUUAAGAUGGCAGGAUCGCAAGACAGAGCAACUGGAGCAAGUCCUCAUUAAGAAGAGCCGCCCGAUGCAUUUGGACUGCGAUGUGUUACGCCCAUGAGAUUUCAGGGUUAAUUUGUUACCUGGCCGUGGCCUAUCCUCUUCCAGCAGAUACAGAGGCUACUGCAGUUUGCAACUUUGCAGAUACCAGCAGAGGAAGAAAAACCUGGGAGACUGCUGCUAACCUAAUGUGGAGACUUGACUUAAACUUCAGCCAGACAAAGGCGGAAUCUUAAUAUGGAGGGGCCUGGCUCUGCAGGGAGGUCACCUGGGCUGGCUGGAUUUCAAUCCAGUUACACAGCAAAAAAGUUACAACCCAAGCUUUGGCGAUGCUGAGCCUUCUACUCUCAGGGAUUCCAAAGCAUUUGAUAAACUCUUUCUUUGUUCCAUUG